UGCUGGAGGUAUCAGAAGUGCGAAUGCUGACAUAAGUAACGAUAAAGCGGGUGAAAAGCCCGCUCGCCGGAAGACCAAGGGUUCCUGUCCAACGUUAAUCGGGGCAGGGUGAGUCGACCCCUAAGGCGAGGCCGAAAGGCGUAGUCGAUGGGAAACAGGUUAAUAUUCCUGUACUUGGUGUUACUGCGAAGGGGGGACGGAGAAGGCUAUGUUGGCCGGGCGACGGUUGUCCCGGUUUAAGCGUGUAGGCUGGUUUUCCAGGCAAAUCCGGAAAAUCAAGGCUGAGGCGUGAUGACGAGGCACUACGGUGCUGAAGCAACAAAUGCCCUGCUUCCAGGAAAAGCCUCUAAGCAUCAGGUAACAUUAAAUCGUACCCCAAACCGACACAGGUGGUCAGGUAGAGAAUACCAAGGCGCUUGAGAGAACUCGGGUGAAGGAACUAGGCAAAAUGGUGCCGUAACUUCGGGAGAAGGCACGCUGAUAUGUAGGUGAAGUCCCUCGCGGAUGGAGCUGAAAUCAGUCGAAGAUACCAGCUGGCUGCAACUGUUUAUUAAAAACACAGCACUGUGCAAACACGAAAGUGGACGUAUACGGUGUGACGCCUGCCCGGUGCCGGAAGGUUAAUUGAUGGGGUUAGCGGUAACGCGAAGCUCUUGAUCGAAGCCCCGGUAAACGGCGGCCGUAACUAUAACGGUCCUAAGGUAGCGAAAUUCCUUGUCGGGUAAGUUCCGACCUGCACGAAUGGCGUAAUGAUGGCCAGGCUGUCUCCACCCGAGACUCAGUGAAAUUGAACUCGCUGUGAAGAUGCAGUGUACCCGCGGCAAGACGGAAAGACCCCGUGAACCUUUACUAUAGCUUGACACUGAACAUUGAGCCUUGAUGUGUAGGAUAGGUGGGAGGCUUUGAAGUGUGGACGCCAGUCUGCAUGGAGCCGACCUUGAAAUACCACCCUUUAAUGUUUGAUGUUCUAACGUUGACCCGUAAUCCGGGUUGCGGACAGUGUCUGGUGGGUAGUUUGACUGGGGCGGUCUCCUCCUAAAGAGUAACGGAGGAGCACGAAGGUUGGCUAAUCCUGGUCGGACAUCAGGAGGUUAGUGCAAUGGCAUAAGCCAGCUUGACUGCGAGCGUGACGGCGCGAGCAGGUGCGAAAGCAGGUCAUAGUGAUCCGGUGGUUCUGAAUGGAAGGGCCAUCGCUCAACGGAUAAAAGGUACUCCGGGGAUAACAGGCUGAUACCGCCCAAGAGUUCAUAUCGACGGCGGUGUUUGGCACCUCGAUGUCGGCUCAUCACAUCCUGGGGCUGAAGUAGGUCCCAAGGGUAUGGCUGUUCGCCAUUUAAAGUGGUACGCGAGCUGGGUUUAGAACGUCGUGAGACAGUUCGGUCCCUAUCUGCCGUGGGCGCUGGAGAACUGAGGGGGGCUGCUCCUAGUACGAGAGGACCGGAGUGGACGCAUCACUGGUGUUCGGGUUGUCAUGCCAAUGGCACUGCCCGGUAGCUAAAUGCGGAAGAGAUAAGUGCUGAAAGCAUCUAAGCACGAAACUUGCCCCGAGAUGAGUUCUCCCUGACUCCUUGAGAGUCCUGAAGGAACGUUGAAGACGACG
rnacentral:rRNA from 1 species